UGAAGAUCGAGUCACUUUCCUAGAUUAAGUGUUGCCUGUAAAGAGUGGAAAAAGUCUAGGAAAGCAAGGAGAUGCUUAUCAGUGUUUGGGUGCUGCUGAACUCUUCUUUCUUAGCGGAGUGGUUUGGUAAUGGCUUUCUUCCCAGCAGAAUGAGAUAAUUUCUCCUUUUUGCCAUCAUGAAAACUUCCUGUGAGUAGUGACCUUGGCCCUCUCAGGAGAGGCGGGAGAAAGCUUCAGGUAUCAGACAGACUGCCCUGCAGGAUCUGGAAGGUUCAGGAGGCUCACAAGUGGCUGUGGGGUGUUUGGGUACUCCCUUAAGGACAGAACAAGAAGAGACUAGAAGAUGUCAAAUGUGUGUUUCAGAGCCAUGGCUCCUGAUGUGGUGAGAAGGGAAUUCGUGAGGAAAAACAAAGAGACAAAGCACAGAAGAGAAUGGAGCCAGACAAGUUGGGAAGCGGUAGCCCAUGUGAGGGGAUGAUGGGGAAUAUGGACUCAGAGUUACUUGGGAGGUAAGU
rnacentral:lncRNA from 12 species